rnacentral:rRNA from 1 species
AUUCCAGCUCCAAUAGCGUAUAUUAAUGUUGUUGCAGUUAAAAAGCUCGUAGUUGAAUUUCUGGUUAAUAUAUUAGCUGGCUUUGGUCGUUAAUGUCUUAAUCAUCCGUUAGAGAACUAUAACCGUCCUUAACUGGUCAUUAUAGAGAUCUAACAUUUUACUUUGAAAAAAUUAGAGUGUUCAAGGCAGGCAAUCGUCAUGAAUACUAUAGCAUGGAAUAAUGGAAUAGGACUUUGGUUCAUUUUAUUGGUUAUUGAACCUUAGUAAUGAUUAACAGGGACAGUUGGGGGCAUUAGUAUUUAAUUGUCAGAGGUGAAAUUCUUGGAUUUAUUAAAGACUAACUUAUGCGAAAGCAUUUGCCAAGGAUGUUUUCAUUA